AGGAAAACAAGGACGUGCUACUUCACAUUCGUUUACAUCUUGACAAGAUGUACCAUUUCCUGUGAAACCAGCAGGGCAACUUCCACAUCUAAAAUUAAGAAGUUAUUAAAAAGAGAGAUAAUUAAAUCAGGAAGUAUAUCUAUGUUCAGUUACCUAAAAAAUGGUGGAUAAUUAGUAGUAAUACAUUCAACUUCGGUAUAACACGGUCGAGAAUCACAAAUGUUUCUUCUACGUUCACAUCGUUCACCAUUACCGUGAUAUCCGGUCGGACACUUACCACAUCUAAAUCAGGAAAAUGAAUCGGUCAUUCGACUAGAUGCAUCUUGGUUGAUCUUUUUCGAUCGUUAAUCAUCUAUCAUCGUUACCUAUAACCAUGAUGAUGAUCCUCGCAACGUACACCAGGGAAACAUGGAUUGUCUAAACAUGUUGUUAUCUUCAAACAAUUACGACCAUCACCGGUCAUACCUCUCGGACAAGUACCACAAAUUGGUCCUCUCGCUGAAUCCUGACACUGAGCUCCAGGAUAACAUGGCGAUUCGUAGUCACAGGAUACUGGUCGUGGUGUUGUUGAUACUGGAGGAACCAUCACCGCUCAGGAGAGAAAAAUGCUUAAUAACUUGUCGAUUAUAUAAAUCGUCAAACUACACGCAAAUCCCAAAGUGAUACUAUUCAUAACUAUAAUACUGAUAAUCAAAUAGUGUUUUAUGAAUUAUUUUCAUAAAAAAAAAAGAGAAAAAAAGAGAAGCAAAUUAUCAGGUUGUUUGUUACGAUGAAAUAUUAUUUAUGAAAAUAAUCAACUAUUGUUUUAGAAUCAUUUGAAAUCAAAAGAAACGGAUCGUAUCAAUAAUGUUUAUUUAUCAAAUUGGUAUUGACUUUUUUAAGAUACAAAAACGUUCGAUCUUUUAUCUUAAAAUAAAAGAUACAAAUCUAUUUACUA